CCCUUAGAUGUCCGGGGCCGCACGCGCGCUACACUGAAGGAAUCAGCGUGGCUUUCUCCCUUACCCGAAAGGGUUGGGAAACCCGUUGAAUCUCCUUCGUGAUAGGGAUUGGGGCUUGAAAUUGUUCCCCAUGAACGAGGAAUUCCCAGUAAGCGCGAGUCAUAAGCUCGCGUUGAUUACGUCCCUGCCCUUUGUACACACCGCCCGUCGCUACUACCGAUUGAACGGUUUAGUGAGGGCCUCGGAUUGGUCUCGGCCCGCUCUUUACCGGGCGGCGCCGUUGGUCGAGAAGACGCUCGAACUUGAUCGUUUAGAGGAAGUAAAAGUCGUAACA
rnacentral:rRNA from 1 species